rnacentral:rRNA from 1 species
UUUGUAUAAUGGGUCAGCGACUUAUAUUCAGUGGCAAGGUUAACCAUCUAGGGGAGCCGUAGGGAAACCGAGUCUUAACUGGGCGUUCAGUCUCUGGAUAUAGACCCGAAACCAGGUGAUCUAGCCAUGGGCAGGUUGAAGGUUGAGUAACAUCAACUGGAGGACCGAACCGACUAAUGUUGAAAAAUUAGCGGAUGACUUGUGGCUAGGGGUGAAAGGCCAAUCAAACCUGGAGAUAGCUGGUUCUCCCCGAAAGCUAUUUAGGUAGCGCCUCGGACGAAUACUACUGGGGGUAGAGCACUGUUAAGGCUAGGGGGUCAUCCCGACUUACCAACCCUUUGCAAACUCCGAAUACCAGUAAGUACUAUCCGGGAGACACACGGCGGGUGCUAACGUCCGUCGUGGAGAGGGAAACAACCCAGACCGCCAGCUAAGGUCCCAAAUUACUACUAAGUGGGAAACGAUGUGGGAAGGCUCAGACAGCCAGGAUGUUGGCUUAGAAGCAGCCAUCAUUUAAAGAAAGCGUAAUAGCUCACUGGUCGAGUCGGCCUGCGCGGAAGAUGUAACGGGGCUAAGUAGUAAACCGAAGCUGCGGCAAUGCACUUUAGUGCAUUGGGUAGGGGAGCGUUCUGUAAGCGGUUGAAGGUGUGUGGUAACGCAUGCUGGACGUAUCAGAAGUGCGAAUGCUGACAUGAGUAACGAUAAAGGGGGUGAAAAACCUCCUCGCCGGAAGACCAAGGGUUCCUGUCCAACGUUAAUCGGGGCAGGGUAAGUCGACCCCUAAGGCGAGGCCGAAAGGCGUAGUCGAUGGGAAACGGGUUAAUAUUCCCGUACUUCUUACAAUUGCGAUGGGGGGACGGAGAAGGCUAGGUGGGCCUGGCGACGGUUGUCCAGGUUCAAGUGCGUAGGCUUGAGAGUUAGGUAAAUCCGGCUCUCUUUAAGGCUGAGACACGACGUCGAGCAUCUACGGAUGUGAAGUCAUUGAUGCCAUGCUUCCAGGAAAAGCCUCUAAGCUUCAGAUUGUAAGGAAUCGUACCCCAAACCGACACAGGUGGUCGGGUAGAGAAUACCAAGGCGCUUGAGAGAACUCGGGUGAAGGAACUAGGCAAAAUGGUACCGUAACUUCGGGAGAAGGUACGCUCUCGACGGUGAAGUCCCUUGCGGAUGGAGCUAUUGAGAGUCGCAGAUACCAGGUGGCUGCAACUGUUUAUUAAAAACACAGCACUGUGCAAAAUCGCAAGAUGACGUAUACGGUGUGACGCCUGCCCGGUGCCGGAAGGUUAAUUGAUGGGGUUAGACUUCGGUCGAAGCUCUUGAUCGAAGCCCCGGUAAACGGCGGCCGUAACUAUAACGGUCCUAAGGUAGCGAAAUUCCUUGUCGGGUAAGUUCCGACCUGCACGAAUGGCGUAAUGAUGGCCACGCUGUCUCCACCCGAGACUCAGUGAAAUUGAAAUCGCUGUGAAGAUGCAGUGUACCCGCGGCUAGACGGAAAGACCCCGUGAACCUUUACUACAGCUUGGCACUGAACAUUGACCCUACAUGUGUA